GUUGCUUCUAUAGUUCUUUGAUCUCGAGUGCCUCCUUUUCUGGUUUGGCAUUCGCACUGGGAAGCAUAUACUUGUAUAUUGCCAGUUUUUAACAGCAUGAUGUCUAUUUAUUUGCAUUGUGUUACCUGUCUGCUGGUAAAUCC
rfam:Cajanus cajan chromosome 2, whole genome shotgun sequence.